UGAUUUUUCCCUCGCAAAUUUCACUGACUCACCAACAUUAAUUGAUUUACAUUUUUUUGUGUUUUUGUUGAUUUCAAAGUUGAUUUUUGACUUGAGAGUUGUGUUCAUAAGAAAUUGUUUGGUUCUUCUGUGUGUGUCUUUGAGAUAGGGGUAAGGUCUGGGUUUGUUGUUGUUGAAUUUGCAGAGUUUUUCUUUAUAAGGUUUACAGGAAAAUCUGUUGCCACUGGUUUUGUGUUUUAUUUUGAAGAUUGUCUCAAUGAGCAACAUUGUCCAUUUUUAUCUGUUCCGGUCGCCUUUUUUUUCCUCCUAAGAUGAACUUUUGUUGAUUGAGAAAAUAAUACAAUAUCCUAUUUUUAAUGGCUGAUUUGCCUUUUUUCUUCCAGGAUUGUGAAUAUAACUAAAAUGACAAUCUUUUUAAUUGCUUAAUGAGACAGAACUGAUGCGUAGUAAGUGAGUGAUCAAAUGCCAUGAGACAUGGGUUCAUCCAACUAGAAAAACACUAGACAUGUCUAUUCUGUCCAUCUGGCAAGAAGGAUACUGCAAAUGUUGUAGGUUGAUUGUGUGGCAUUGCUUAAAUUUUCUAGACAAAAUCAGUAAAUUGCUGAAACGAAAUAAGUCUUGAACUGAUGUGGUGAAAAAUACUUGAUAAUGGAUGAUUUCUAUGUUACAUAAACUAACAGAGUGAAUUGCACGGUCACGAUAAACAAAACUGAGCCACCAAAAAGUGUGGCUUUCUGGAGAGUUUGGGAUCAUAUUUUGCUUCUCAUCCUUACUAAUUUAGCUAAUGUUUGUUGAGCAGCCAAAGUUUGAGCAUGGUUAUGACCCAGCAUUACGGUUCGGAUGCUAAUGCAAGUUCUGCAGAGAUCCUCUCCGCUAUCAAAAUGACCUCCUCUUAGUAACAGCUUUGCUCUAGCUUCCAGCAGGGUAGCUUUCAAUAAUGUCACCUCUUGCCAAACAUACUCGUCCACUCUUUGGUUGGAUUGCAGCUUCUUUUUCCAGCACAGAGAUCCGUGGCACCAGUCUUGUAUUUGAGAAACAAAUGACUUCUCUGCUUCUUCAAGCACAUUUGUGCAGACCUUCAAGAGUUCUAAGGCCGAGUUGCACCUUGAGAAUGUUGUGAAGGCACUAAUUGCCAAUGGAAGAGCUGUCUUUCUAAUGAAGAGAACCAUGUCUAUGGCCUUGAGCUGAAUGACUGGUGGUUCGGAUUUGAAACCAAAUACAAGGAAAGCACAUGACCAGAGAUGGUCAGAAUCUACUAGCGGGUUUCCAAUUUUCCUUGCACCUUGAACAUUGGCUUUGGCAGCAACUAAUCCAUCUUUCCUUUUAGCGAAGAUCUGAGUGAUGGGAUGGAAUUGGAUCCAGCAUCCAGGCUGCCUGUUGGCUUUUCGUGCCAAACCCAGUUUAACUAGAAGUAGUGCUGCUUCCUCUUCACUUUUCCAUGUCUGGCUUGUCAGGCAAUGCCCCGAGUAGAAGCAUAGAGCAACUUUCAUGCACUUAGUCCACAUCUUGAAUCUGUUUCUAUUUACAAGAAUUUUCUUUGCAGCUGCUGCCAGUAAAUUCACCGAGAUGGGUGCUGGAGCAAACCAUGCUCCUACCUGAAGCAUUCUUGAGGCAAGGGAGUCCCUGCUAUCGUUGCUUUGCUGCAAGAGGGCUGUACAGAAAACCAGUGUUUUCAUUAGAAAUGGAUUUGUUCUGCAGAACUGUUGAUGUGGAACGGACAGAUUAGAGCAAGUUGUGGCUUCUUCAACUGGAACCUGAUUCACAGCUUCGAAUAGAGCAGACGGCAAAAUUGCAAGCUCUGAUAGCAAGGAACCAACCGCCCAAAGACCAAAACUCGACCUCCCAAGUUUCUCAUCAAAUUUUUGGAGGAAUUCCACCUCUCCUGCUGGAUACUCCUUUUUACGUCUUCCCCUUAUCAAUAUCAUGGCAUCGGAUGUGGACAAUGGCUGAAGCUGCAAGGGAUCAACGUUCAUUACCUGGUUGAGCUGUGUUGUGAUAAUGACAUGGGUACCACCAGUGUUACUUGGUAUUAAAUCAUGAAGAUCCUUCCCUUCCCACCACUCCUUCUCAGUCUCUAAAUUAUCUAUAAUUAGUAAAUAUGGCAUGUCACGGAAUAUCUCCCGUUUAACUCUCUUGAAUGCUUCUAAUUCUUGCUCAUCGAAACUCCUUAUCCUCCCUCUUUCCUUCUCUGCAUCUGCACUCACAUCCAGGCCCAAAUUUAGAGAUAAGUUCAAUAUGUUCUGUCGAAAGUAGCGAGCUUCACCCCCUACCCACAAGACCAUCUUGUAUCUCUGUGAAUACCUGUAAGCAAAUUCCAAAGCAAGGUCAGUCUUUCCAACACCAGGGGCGCCAUUUAUGCACACAACACUGGCCCCCAAAUUCUUGUCCUUCCCGCUUCUUGAUUUUCUGUACUUGAGUCUCUUCAGCGAAUUUCUUCCAAUAAUUGGUUCCACCCAAGCUUCUUUAUUGGUUUCCUUGUUCUUUCCUAUUUCUAGAUUUAUAUAUUUGCCUCUGCUAGCAUCAGCUUCACUUUCAUCAUCAGCUAGACCUUCAGAUUGUCCUGGUGUUCCUCCUUUGACACUUGGGACCACACUUUCUUGCUCAAAGGAAUCCCCACAGCCGAAGAGAGUAGUCUCUAUCUCCAUAAUUUCUCUCUCUCUUCCCACAAAACUUUUAUUCCUCGGAAAGGGCAACUCUUCAAACCCUUCUGCUGUUUUUUCUGCAACACUUUUCCUACCAAGUUUGGCCCUUAAUAUCCCAGCUGCUUUAGACGCACAGGACCUCCAAUUACUCUCAUUUGUCUCCAAUUUAAACUCAUGACACUUUAGUAUUGCAUCCAGUACCUCUUUACAUUUCUUGGCAUCAGCAUUUCGGUUAAAUAGACUUGCAAUUUCAUUGGCAUCCGUAUUAAAGAACAAAGGAAUCAAGUUCUUCUUUUGCGCAAAGAAUCUUAUUUCCUCCAAGCUCAGAUGGUUGAAGAAGCUACAACUGGUGACAACUACGACGCCAAAGGUUACUGAGCAUAUAACUCGGUCAGCAAUCUCAUGGCUCUGAUUAUCUGCAUACUUUGCUCUAUCAGCAAUAAAACAAGCAAUACCCUGAAGCUCGAGUUCCGACUUGAGCCACUUGCAGAAGCGCGCUACAUUUAGGUUCUGACCGUGGAAUCCUAUAUACACAUCACAGCUCCUAAGUUUGGCAUUGGAUGCAGGUGAAAUGGAGCCCUUGGCAAAAGAAAUUCGAGGGACAGGAAAAGAAAAGGAUAUCCUGGGAUCGGUCUCUGGUCCUGAAACAGGGACACAGGUGACAAUUUUGAGCUUUGUGUCGGUAGGGUCAUCAGAAAAAUCAUAUCUUUCUGGAGGUGGAGUGUAGGAGGUGCUGGGAACAUCAUCGGACUGUGAACCGCAGUAUGACACUGGCGGGGAUGGGUGGGCAACUGAGGUAGGAGCAAUAGGAGUUUCUUGUUUUGGAUUAGCAACUAAAAUGGUGGGAGCAAUGAGGUUUUCUUGAGCACUUGGAUUUGUAACUAAAGUGGCCCUUGGAGAAAUGUAAGGUGAUUGCAAUGCUGAAACAAAUGCAGAAGAUGGAGGAGAGAUGAGUGAAGGAGAGUUAUAUGGUGAUGAUGUGGCUGAAUCUGCUACCAAUUUCUGCUGACCUGAAGGAACAACAGUGGAGAAAAUGUCCUUACCCAGCUUCUUACCGCCCGAAUUUGCAAUCUUGAUGGUAAGGGACUGGGUAUCAACAGUUGGGAUCUCUUUAGGAGAUUGCUCUUCAUUCAUUCUCAAAGUGAUGAAUGAGGAGUCUCCAAAAGCUUAGAAGUUGAACACUCUGAAAAAGCUUUGAGGAACCAAGGAGGUAACAAAAUGCUAUAUUUCAGUAGUUUUCAAUUCAGUAGAACCAUACUUGCCGGAUUGGAAUCAGGCGAAAAAAGACUGAUCUUGUUUCUGGAUACUUGGUAUGGAGUGUAAUCAGUUGCAAAUAAUUUGUGGUUGGGAUGGGAACACUCUCCUUGAAGAAGCAGAUGAAUGUAACAGUAAGACUUCUGAAAGCAGAAAGAAAUCUACAUGUGAAAGUCAUAUCUUCAUCUUCUAACUGUGGGCCUCCCUAAGUCAGAACUUAGAACCUGACUCUCGCUUUCACUGUGGAGGAACUUGAAUAGCUAAAAGGGUGUACGUCUUACAUUGGAAACAAGAAAGCCUUUACCUAAUUUGAUCCAUGUAGAAAACCAUCAUGAGACUAAAUCUCUCAGGGUGCAAGAGAAACUGGUUUGUUUACUUUACCUUGAUUUAGUUCGUUAAAGCUAAGAAAGGAAACAUAAUUUGCUUUGAGUCUGCUACCCUAGGGAUACAAUCUCCAUAUUUCUCUCUCCCAUGAACUAGCUUUACAGAUGGGGAAUCUAGUGAUAUGGGUUGGAUCUGUGAGGUUUUGAACAUAAAAUAUUACCAAAAUUGCUUCAAAAGAAGGUGCAGAGUGUAUGUGGUGUAAUAUUCUAUGUGCUUAGUUUAAUCCCUUUAUCUUGGGCUUAGCCAUUCUUUUUGUUUUAUGUGUCGUAAGAUUGCAUAUUUGAAAUUAGUAAAAGCAAAUUUUAUGCAUUAGUAUACUUUAUAAUUUUCUCUCUGUCACAGAAUCCAAUGUUUGGUCAGAAUGAAUACAGAGAAAAAAAAGGCAUUGGGAGAGGAACCAAAGACACUGUCUGUGUGACCUUGGUGGAAAUGAAGGAGAAAUGCCUCUCUGAAUGAAUAAAACCAAAUAUUGAUGUAUGCAAUGCAGGUUUGCUCUCUCUUCUGACGCAGUUUUCACUAUUUGCUCUGGGAAUUGGACCAAGACCAGUCCAACUCUAAGCACUAAAAACCAUUAAUAAUUUGAAAGCUCCACCUCUUCCCCUGGGGUCAUACUCACUCCACCCUACCCAUAUAUAAUUUCUCCAAGUGAAAUGCACGAAUUUAUUUCAAAUACAGUCCACAAUUUGGAAGCACUGGCAUAUAAAUAAAGAAAAAUAUAAGUGAAACUAAUAGCGGUAAAGUUAGCCAAACAAAACGAAGAAAGGAGGGAUUAGUCAUAGGCCCUUGCUAUCAGUUAGCCUUCAAAAAGGAAAUUUAUUGUUAGGUUAGAUCAAGGAUUCCAACUUUUGUGCAAUAAAAGCUCCCCCCUUUUAUUAUGAUGCUACUACCUCAUGAUGGUGCCCAAUUCAGAAAUUAAACCUACAAAAAGAAACGUAAAAACUAUUCUCGUUCACUUUUACUUGGCAUGUUUUGAUUUUUUAUGUCCCUAAGAAAUAAUAAAUAAAAUACAUAAUUUAUCAUGAUAUUCAUAUUAAUUGAUGCAUAUUUUAUUGGACUUAAGAAAAAUAAUUUAAAAUGAGUAAUAAAUAUUAUGGGUAUAACAGGAAAAAAAAUUCUCUUCUCUUGAUAUGCGUAAAGUUUUUUACUGGAUCAUUGUUGUUGUUUGAUAUGCGUAAAGUGAUAAGCAGAAAUAAAAAGUUAUUUUUAGUAUACUCGUCAUGUAAGAUUGGACAGAGGGAAUAUUAUUUUGACUUAAACAGUGACCCCUCUAUAGCCUGUUUGGCUAUGCUUCUAAAAUCAGCUUAUUUUGAAAAGUAUUUUUUCUCAUAAGUACUUUUCAAAAAAUUACUUUUGGCGAGAAACAGUUUGUGUUUGGCUAAUUAAUUUAAAAAAUACUUUUGAGCAGUAAUUAGUGUUUGACCAAGCUUUUAAAAACUGCUUCUAAGUGUAUUUUUCUCAAAAGUGCUUCUUAGAAAAAUGCUUUUGGAGAGAAGCUACCUUUUUCUGCUUCUCAAAAAUUGUUUAUGCUUCUCCUCAAAAGUAAUUUUUUUUCUUCUAUAAGUUUGGCCAAACACCUCAAUUUUUUAUCAAAAAAACUUUUAGCCAAAAAGUAAUUUUGACCUAAAAAAAACUUACCAAUCAGGCUACUAGUCUGUCGGCGGCUGUGACCAUGCUAAGAAGUUGGAAGCCUUUUAGUUUUGAAUUACUGUUGUUUGCCACAUUUACUACUUUUUCUUGGCUUAGUUUCAUUUUGACUUUUGAGUUACCAAAUUAUUAAGCAUUUAUUACGUUAUUAUGACAAAUAUAAUCAAGAGCAGUCAUUUUAGCGUUUCUUAUUCUUACAACCUGCCUGCUGCAUGUGCAUUCAACACUUCUUAAUUGGUGUUGGAAUUUAAUAUACUCUCUCCCUCUGUUCCAAUUUAUGUGAACCUAUUUCUUUUUUGGUCCGUUCCAAAAAGAAUAAAUCCUUUUUAAAUUUGGUAACAAUUUAGCUUAAAAUUACAACUUUACCCUUAAUGAAAAGCUUUUAUAAUCACACAAAUACUCUGGGCCCCAUUUGGACUUGUUUAGGACCACAAAUUCCAAAUGUCUUCAUUUUUUUCUUAAACUUCAUACUCAAUCAAACAGGUUCACAUAAAUUGAAACGGAGGGAGUACUCGCGACCUGAUAUUUCUUUUUUAUUGUAAUGGAAUCAUUAAGAAAUCCUCCUCUCCAAUGGCCAAAAUUUCGUAAUGUGUUACUCCACAUGUCAAGACGUUGAGGUUGCAACUAAGUGGUUCAAUUCAUUUUAAAUUGGUCUUUUACUCUCUUAUUUGAAUUGAAAGAAAGUAAAAAAAUCUUUCUUUUGUUCUUCUUUAUUUUUUUCUUUAUUCCGUCGAGAAAUUUUGGUUAUGACUAAUGCUCCAUUAGCUAGAUAAAAGUAAUAUAUAUAUAUAUUAUUUAGUCGUAAAAAUAAAGUGCACCUUGAGUUAAACUCGACGAAUUGCGUUUUGAAUCUCUUUAAAGAAUCAACAAAAAAGGGUCAUAUAUGUCAGUGAACUAUGUGAAUUAGGACAGAUAUGCCCGUCGUUAAUAGUUUGGCACAUAUAUGCCCAAUCCGUCCAAUACUUGCUCAUUUAUGCCCUUAGUUUAACGGAAUCACUAUUUUGUCUUUCUUAAAUAAUUAAUAAUCGAACACAACCAAAAUUCGUUGACCCGAUAUGUUAGGACCCGACCCACCCUUAUUUCAAAGAUAUUUUUGAUAUAUUAUUUUUCUUUGAUUGAGAAAUUGUGUAAUGAUCAUAUUUAUUUAUUCGAGUAAUUUGAUAAUCUGUUUUUUUUGUUAUACAUCAUUUCGGGAAGUAAUCCUACUAAAAGUAGUAACUGAUUUUUAUUUAUUAUUUUAAUAAUAUAAUAUUUGAAUUAACAGUGAUGCUUGUUAUGAAAUAAUAUUUGUUAUGAAAUAAUUAAUUAAUAAAAAUGGAAAAGAAACACCAUUGUUUUAACAAUUUAUUACUUAUUUCAUAACAAAUUUGUAAUGCAGAAAAAUAAUCCAAUAAAUUAAUAAUCAAUCAUAUAAUGAUCACUUAUCUAAACCAAAAAAAAUGGAUCCAUCAGGUUAAGUUAUAGUAAACAUGGAGUUAUUUAUAUUUGUAUUGGUGAAAAAUAAUAAUAUAUUGUGAGAAAAAUAAAAAUAGAUGGUAAAAUGAUCGAAUAAAGCACAAACUAAUUUGAAUAUUAUAUUAUUUAAAUAAUAAAUAAAUACCAAUUACUACUUUUAGUAAGAUUACUUCCCGAAAUGAUGUAUAACAAAAAAAAUCGAUUAUCAAAUUACUCAAAUAAAUAAAAAUAAUUAUCACACAAUUUCUCAAUCAAACAAAAAUAAUAUAUCAAAAAAUAUCUUGGAAAUAAGGAUGGGUCGGGUCCGAACGGAUCGGGUCAGCAGAUUUGGGUUGGGUCUGAUCAUUCAUUAAUUAAGAAAGACAAAAUAGUGCAUCUAUUAAAGUAAGGGCAUGAAUGAGUAAGUAUUUGACUGAUUGGGCAUAUCUGUGCAAACUAUUAACGACGGACAUAUCUGUCCUAAUUCGCAUAGUUCACUGUAAAAAUUACACGGGGCGCCCUAUUUGGUCACCCCCAUUUAACCUUUACCCUUUUUUUUAAAACUCAUAACUUUACCCACUUUUUAAAUAACUUCAGCCUUCUUUCUCCUCUUCCUUCUUCUUCUUCUCCUUCUCCUUCUUCUCCUUCUCCAUCUCCUUUUCCUCCUUCUCCUUCUCCUCCUUCUCUUCCUUCUUCUUCUUCUCCUUAUGAUCCUUUUCCUUCUCCUUCUUCUUCUCAUCCUUCUCCUCCUUCUUCUUCUUCUUCUCCUUCUCAUUCUCCUUCUCCUUUUUCUCCUUCUCCUUCUUCUCCUUCUCCUCCUCCUCCUCUCUCUCUCUCUCUCUCUCUCUCUCUCUCNNNNNNNNNNNNNNNNNNNNNNNNNNNNNNNNNNNNNNNNNNNNNNNNNNNNNNNNNNUCUUCUUCUUCUUCUUCUCCUCAUCGUCCAAUUCAUAAUCUUAUAGAGAAUCGAAGGAAUCACCUAGACUUAUUCUUUUUACUUUCUCAUGUACAUAAUAAUGAUGUGAAUGCUUGAAUUAGUUAAAAAAUGAAUUAAGUUGACAAAGUUGAACAUAUACCAUGCUAUAAAUAUCACCAUUGCUAUUGUCAGUUUCCUCACCAAGAAAUCCAAAAGGAAAACAAGCUAGAUAUGGCUAAAUACACAACCUUCGUUGCCCUUCUCUUCUGUCUUCUCCUUGUCGCUGCUACUGGUGAGUCAAAUUAAGUAGCUUAUUUUUUUUAAUCAAAUUAAAGGAUUGGGAUGUUCAGGAUUGUCCCAAGAUACAAAACAAAAACUUCCUUCGAUAAAAGCUUCAGCUCUAGAGCUGAAGUUCGCCAGUUACAAAAAAAAAAA
rnacentral:lncRNA from 1 species